AGGUAGUAUUUUCUUAAAAAACCCAUUCAUCAUGGCGGCAUCUCAUCUAAUUAGAGGAACUUGUUUUAUAAUCGAUAAUCCACGAUAAUUUUUACUUAAUCUAGCAAUUUACAUACCGCCAUCCAAUGAACUAUUAUUUACUUUUUACUCAAAAUGAAACACAAAAGGUUAGGUCAAGGUGUAAUCUACGCUUAAGAAAAAAUGAGUUACUCUAAAUAAAAUUUAAGGAAUAUUCACUAAAAAUGCAUACAAAAAAGGAUUUAUAAGUAAUUUUUAGAUAUUAUCAUAUAAUGAAUAAGAUAAUAAAUGUGC
rnacentral:rRNA from 1 species